AUUGAACGCUGGCGGCAGGCCUAACACAUGCAAGUCGAACGAGUGGCGGACGGGUGAGUAAUGUCUGGGAAACUGCCCGAUGGAGGGGGAUAACUACUGGAAACGGUAGCUAAUACCGCAUACCAUCGGAUGUGCCCAGAUGGGAUUGGCUAGUAGGUGGGGUAACGGCUCACCUAGGCGACGAUCCCUAGCUGGUCUGAUAGGAUGACCAGCCGCACUGUAGCUGAGACGGGGUGCAGACUCCUACGGGAGUCAGCAGUGGUGAAGAUUGCACGAUGGGCUCAAGCCUUAUGCAGCCGUGCCGCGUGUAUGAAGAAGGCCUCCGGGUUGUAAAGUACUUUCAGCGAGGAGGCGUUACUCGCAGAAGAAGCACCGGCUAACUCCGUGCCAGCAGCCGCGGUAAUUC
rnacentral:rRNA from 1 species